CCUACGGGUUGCAGCAGUGGGGAAUAUUGGACAAUGGGGGCAACCCUGAUCCAGCCAUGCCGCGUGUGUGAAGAAGGCCUUUUGGUUGUAAAGCACUUUAAGCAGGGAGGAGAGGCUAAUGGUUAAUACCCAUUAGAUUAGACGUUACAUGCAGAAUAAGCACCGGCUAACUCUGUGCCAGCAGCCGCGGUAAUACAGAGGGUGCGAGCGUUAAUCGGAAUUACUGGGCGUAAAGCGAGUGUAGGUGGCUCAUUAAGUCACAUGUGAAAUCCCCGGGCUCAACCUGGGGACUGCAUGUGAUACUGGUGGUGCUAGAAUAUGUGAGAGGGAAGUAGAAUUCCAGGUGUAGCGGUGGAAUGCGUAGAGAUCUGGAGGAAUACCGAUGGCGAAGGCAGCUUCCUGGCAUAAUAUUGACACUGGGAUCCGAAAGCGUGGGUAGCAAACAGGAUUAGAUACCCCCGUAGUC
rnacentral:rRNA from 1 species